GCUGGGGGUCCGGGAGGAAGUGUGCACGCUGGGGGGCACGGCUCAGCCCAGAAGCCGCCAUCCGGUGGGUCAGCAUCACGUAAGAAGUGCUUUUCGCCUCCCGCCAUGAUUCUGAGGUCUCCCCAGCCAUGUGGAACUGUAAGUCCAAUUAAACCUGUUUUUGUUCCCA